CAUGCAAGUCGAACGGAAGUUUAAGCAAUUAAACUUUAGUGGCGAACGGGUGAGUAACGCGUAAGCAAUCUGCCCCUAAGGCGAGGAUAACAGUUGGAAACGACUGCUAAGACUGGAUAGGAGACAGGAAGGCAUCUUCUUGUUUUUAAAAGACCUAGCAAUAGGUAUGCUUAGGGAGGAGCUUGCGUCACAUUAGUUAGUUGGUGGGGUAAAGGCCUACCAAGACUAUGAUGUGUAGCCGGGCUGAGAGGUUGAACGGCCACAUUGGGACUGAGACACGGCCCAAACUCCUACGGGAGGCAGCAGUAGGGAAUUUUCGGCAAUGGAGGAAACUCUGACCGAGCAACGCCGCAUGAACGAUGAAGUAUUUCGGUACGUAAAGUUCUUUUAUUAGGGAAGAAUAAAUGAUGGAAAAAUCAUUCUGACGGUACCUAAUGAAUAAGCCCCGGCUAACUAUGUGCCAGCAGCCGCGGUAAUACAUAGGGGGCAAGCGUUAUCCGGAAUUAUUGGGCGUAAAGGGUGCGUAGGCGGUUGAAUAAGUUUAUGGUCUAAGUGCAAUGCUCAACAUUGUGAUGCUAUAAAAACUGUUUAGCUAGAGUAAGAUAGAGGCAAGUGGAAUUCCAUGUGUAGUGGUAAAAUGCGUAAAUAUAUGGAGGAACACCAGUAGCGAAGGCGGCUUGCUGGGUCUUUACUGACGCUGAGGCACGAAAGCGUGGGGAGCAAACAGGAUUAGAUACCCUGGUAGUCCACGCCGUAAACGAUGAGUACUAAACGUUGGGUAAAACCAGUGUUGAAGUUAACACAUUAAGUACUCCGCCUGAGUAGUACGUACGCAAGUAUGAAACUUAAAGGAAUUGACGGGACUCCGCACAAGCGGUGGAUCAUGUUGUUUAAUUCGAAGGUACCCGAAAAACCUCACCAGGUCUUGACAUGCUUCUGCAAAGCUGUAGAAACACAGUGGAGGUUAUCAGUUGCACAGGUGGUGCAUGGUUGUCGUCAGCUCGUGUCGUGAGAUGUUGGGUUAAGUCCCGCAACGAGCGCAACCCUUAUUGUUAGUUACCAGCACGUAAUGGUGGGGACUUUAGCAAGACUGCCAGUGAUAAAUUGGAGGAAGGUGGGGACGACGUCAAAUCAUCAUGCCCCUUAUGACCUGGGCUACAAACGUGAUACAAUGGCUGUUACAAAGGGUAGCUGAAGCGCAAGUUUUUGGCGAAUCUCAAAAAAACAGUCUCAGUUCGGAUUGAAGUCUGCAACUCGACUUCAUGAAGUUGGAAUCGCUAGUAAUCGCGAAUCAGCAUGUCGCGGUGAAUACGUUCUCGGGGUUUGUACACACCGCCCGUCAAACCACGAAAGUUGGCAAUACCCAAAGCCGGUGGCCUAACUUCGCAAGAAGAGGGAACCGUCUAAGGUAGGGUCGAUGAUUGGGGUUAAGA
rnacentral:rRNA from 1 species